rnacentral:rRNA from 1 species
AGUGAACGCUGGCGGUAGGCCUAACACAUGCAAGUCGAACGGCAGCACAGUAAGAGCUUGCUCUUACGGGUGGCGAGUGGCGGGCGGGUGAGGAAUACAUCGGAAUCUACUUUUUCGUGGGGGAUAACGUAGGGAAACUUACGCUAAUACCGCAUACGACCUACGGGUGAAAGCAGGGGAUCUUCGGACCUUGCGCGAUUGAAUGAGCCGAUGUCGGAUUAGCUAGUUGGCGGGGUAAAGGCCCACCAAGGCGACGAUCCGUAGCUGGUCUGAGAGGAUGAUCAGCCACACUGGAACUGAGACACGGUCCAGACUCCUACGGGAGGCAGCAGUGGGGAAUAUUGGACAAUGGGCGCAAGCCUGAUCCAGCCAUACCGCGUGGGUGAAGAAGGCCUUCGGGUUGUAAAGCCCUUUUGUUGGGAAAGAAAAGCAGCAGGUGAAUACCCCGCUGUUCUGACGGUACCCAAAGAAUAAGCACCGGCUAACUUCGUG